rnacentral:rRNA from 1 species
AUGCUGCCAGACAACAACCUCGACAGCAGAAUCAUGGUGACCACUCGGAUAGAGGCUGUGGCUGUAGCAUGCAGUGAUGCUAGUGAAAUUUGUGGAGAUAACAUCUAUCACAUCGAGCCCCUCAAUUCAGAAGACUCCAAGAAGUUGUUCCUCAGCAGAGCAUUUGGCUCCAAGGAUGCCACUUGCCCCACAGAGCUGGAAGAUGAAAUGAACAAAAUUCUGAAGAAAUGUGGUGGGCUGCCAUUGGCCAUUGUCAGCAUUGGCAGCCUUUUGGCCAGCUAUAAAUCAGCGGAGCACAAGGAUAUGUGGGAUAGAGUUUGCAAAUCAAUUAGUUAUCAUAUGGAUACCAAUCCCAUCCUUGACGGGAUGAGGCAGAUACUCACACUCAGCUACGACCACCUGCCCUAUCACCUCAAGGGUUGCAUGAUGUAUCUUAGUAUUUUUCCCGGAGGAUUUUAG